GGCGAUUGUCUGUCGCAUGAUGAAUGGACAGCAAGCACCACCAGCGCGCACACACUAUUUUGAUCCUUCGUUCUCGGUGAUUCUGACCAACUUGAAAACAAAUGCAACCAGCCAGGUGAUCAUGGAUAGAUGUCGCAUGUAUCUGGAUGCUGGUAUAUUGGGCCAUGAUUUGGGGACAUGUGACAUGAUGUUCAUCCC